rnacentral:rRNA from 1 species
GCGAGUGGCGAACGGGUGAGUAAUAUAUCGGAACGUGCCCAGUCGUGGGGGAUAACGCAGCGAAAGCUGUGCUAAUACCGCAUACGAUCUCUGGAUGAAAGCGGGGGACUCGCAAGGGCCUCGCGCGAUUGGAGCGGCCGAUAUCAGAUUAGCUAGUUGGUGGGGUAAAAGCCCACCAAGACGACGAUCUGUAGCUGGUCUGGGAGGACGACCAGCCACACUGGAACUGAGACACGGUCCAGACUCCUACGGGAGGCAGCAGUGGGGAAUUUUGGACAAUGGGCGCAAGCCUGAUCCAGCAAUGCCGCGUGAGUGAAGAAGGCCUUCGGGUUGUAAACUGCUUUUGUACGGAACGAAACGGCUGCCCCUAAUACGGGCGGCUAAUGACGGUACCGUAAGAAUAAGCACCGGCUAACUACGUGCCAGCAGCCGCGGUAAUACGUAGGGUGCGAGCGUUAAUCGGAAUUACUGGGCGUAAAGCGUGCGC